AGAAACUAGAAUUAGUGUUUUUGUUUUUGUUUUUGUUUUUUUUAUGUUUUUCUCCAGUAGUGAAAAGAUCAAGUUGAGCACCGUCUGGAACUCCUUCAUGGUACCUGCCUCUUCUAAGAAAUCAAGAUUCCAUUCACAUGCAGAAUCUUUGCAGUUUUGAAGGUAUCGUAUGUGCAAGCAUGGUGGUUGGUGUAUUUUUUUUCUCCCAAAGCAUUUGUUUGAAUUUAGUCUCCAGUGCAGCAGUUGGAGGUAGGGAUCAAGCAGAGAGGAUUGGACUGUGGGACUGUGAGCUCACAACUGGAUCAAUGCAGUUUUUAUGUAAGUAGAAUCAGAACAGACAAAGUGAGACAGAUUCCACCCGAGUGAUGGGAGGCAACUGAGGACAAACCAAAGGAUGAUUCGUUUCAGACAAAAUGGUUCAUAUCCAAGAGCGCAAGUGAUCAGAGUUGAAAUGAAGUCACAUGUGAUGAUGGUUCAUGCAUAAAAUCCCUAGUUGUGCUUUGG
rnacentral:lncRNA from 1 species